AUUCCAGCUCCAAUAGCGUAUAUUAAAGUUGUUGCAGUUAAAACGCUCGUAGUCGGAUUUCGGGGCGGGGGCACCGGUCCGCCGUUCCGGUGUGCACUGGUGGCCCCUUCCUUUCUGCCGGGGACGUGCGUCGCACUUAAUUGGGGGGCGUUCGGAGUCGGCGUUGUUACUUUGAAAAAAUUAGAGUGUUCAAAGCAAGCCAUCGCUCUGAAUACAUUAGCAUGGAAUAACAUGAUAGGACUCCGGUCUUAUUUUGUUGGUUUCCGAGACUGGAGUAAUGAUUAAGAGGGACAGUCGGGGGUAUCCGUAUUCCAUUGUCAGAGGUGAAAUUCUUGGAUUUAUGAAAGACGAACUUCUGCGAAAGCAUUUGCCAAGGAUGUUUUCAUUA
rnacentral:rRNA from 1 species